rnacentral:rRNA from 1 species
CCUACGGGAGGCAGCAGUAGGGAAUAUUGGUCAAUGGGGGAAACCCUGAACCAGCAACGCCGCGUGGAGGAUGAAGGUUCUCGGAUUGUAAAGCUCUUUUGUUAGAGAAGAAAAUGACGCUAUCUAUGGAUUAAGCACCGGCUAACUCUGCGCCAGCACCGGCGGUAAUACGGAGGGUGCAAGCGUGACUCGGAAUCUCUGUGCGUAAAGAGGGCGUAGGCGGGAUAGCAAGUCAGAUGUGAAAUCCUCUGGCUUAACCAUAGAACUGCAUUUGAGACUGUGAUUCUGGGGUAUGGGAGAGGUAGGUGGAAUUCUUGGUGUAGCGGUGAAAUCCGUAGAUAUCAGGAGGAAUACUCAUUGCGAAGGCGACCUGCUGGAACGUAACUGACGCUGAUGCGCGAAAGCGUGGGGAGCAAACAGGAUUAGAUACCCUUGUAGUC